AUUGAACGCUGGCGGCAGGCCUAACACAUGCAAGUCGAGCGGAUGAAGGGAGCUUGCUCCUGGAUUCAGCGGCGGACGGGUGAGUAAUGCCUAGGAAUCUGCCUGGUAGUGGGGGAUAACGUCCGGAAACGGGCGCUAAUACCGCAUACGUCCUGAGGGAGAAAGUGGGGGAUCUUCGGACCUCACGCUAUCAGAUGAGCCUAGGUCGGAUUAGCUAGUUGGUGGGGUAAAGGCCUACCAAGGCGACGAUCCGUAACUGGUCUGAGAGGAUGAUCAGUCACACUGGAACUGAGACACGGUCCAGACUCCUACGGGAGGCAGCAGUGGGGAAUAUUGGACAAUGGGCGGAAGCCUGAUCCAGCCAUGCCGCGUGUGUGAAGAAGGUCUUCGGAUUGUAAAGCACUUUAAGUUGAGAGGAAGGGCAGUAAGUUAAUACCUUGCUGUUUUGACGUUACCAACAGAAUAAGCACCGGCUAACUUCGUG
rnacentral:rRNA from 1 species